AACGAACGCUGGCGGCAGGCUUAACACAUGCAAGUCGAGCGCCCCGCAAGGGGAGCGGCAGACGGGUGAGUAACGCGUGGGAAUCUACCCAUCUCUACGGAAUAACGCAUGGAAACGUGUGCUAAUACCGUAUACGUCCUUCGGGAGAAAGAUUUAUCGGAGAUGGAUGAGCCCGCGUUGGAUUAGCUAGUUGGUGGGGUAAAGGCCUACCAAGGCGACGAUCCAUAGUUGGUCUGAGAGGAUGAUCAGCCACACUGGGACUGAGACACGGCCCAGACUCCUACGGGAGGCAGCAGUGGGGAAUAUUGGACAAUGGGCGCAAGCCUGAUCCAGCCAUGCCGCGUGAGUGAUGAAGGCCCUAGGGUUGUAAAGCUCUUUCACCGGUGAAGAUAAUGACGGUAACCAGAGAAGAAGCCCCGGCUAACUUCGUGCCAGCCGCCGCGGUAAGAC
rnacentral:rRNA from 1 species